GGCUGUUGGGUUGGCAGUGAGUAUUUUGCGUGUGAUUCUAAGUCAAUCUCUGUUAAAAAUUAAAAAUUCUUUGUGUUAAAGAGCAGCCGUGGAUUAAAAAUUAUAUGGACAUGAUAUUUUGCAGAUAAGUGGAAAAUGACAUUGAACAAAUUAUGUUAGUUUGAAUCCACGUGUUUAAUAAGUUGUAUUGCUCGUGGUUGCAAUGUAAUUUAAAAUUCAAGGUUCGUGGAGUUGUUACUCAUUGGUAACAGUGCUGGAUAGACUUAAAUGAAGAAAUUGCAAUUGUAGGUGAUUAUGAAAGCAGGAAGGGCCAACCAGGAACUCCCCGCGUCCACAUUUCGCUGCAUUCCAAGCAUGAGGAGCUUAUGUAGGAAAGGUGACUCUCACAGGGGACUGUUAAGGUGCAGGAUGAUCCUGAAGUUCAGCGCUGGGUAGAACCUGCGACAGAUACAGUAUCUUCUGACUCGGUCUCUGAGGAGGAAGGGGAUGAGAUACCCAGCCCCCGGAUGACCAAAGCAAAGCAGAUCAGGGAGCCUCUUCACACAGACCCCAGUCCAAGGACGGAGAGGGACAUAAGAUGAAAAGUGACUCCUCCCCAAUUGGAAGAGAUCAUGAAAUUUCUUCAAAUCAACCUACACCACAGCAAAUCUGCCACAGCAGCUCUGUGCCAACAGCUAGCUGAAGGUUGGUGUGCAGCAAUGAUCACAUACGAUCUGCAAGAGGAGUUAUAGAGACAAGGUAAUCAGUCAUUUGCAUUAAGCCUCAUAAAAGUUGUUUCUUCUGGAGUGUGUCAUGACAUUUUCACUUUAAAUUAACCAUUGGCAGCAAAAUUGUGAUAGCAUUUUCUGAUGUUUUUAAAACUAAAGUAGUUAAUAUUAACUAUUUACAAAAAAGACUUCUCUUUAAGAUGAUUAUUGUGAUGACAAAAGAGAUAAGGACCUUAAUGUAGUUAUGGUGAUGGGUGUCCAUCUCAAAAAAUCAGAUAAGUUAUUAAAUGUUAGGCACAUAUCAGAAUGUUUAGGAAUCUUCAUACACAUGAAAUCAGUGGUAGAUCAACAUAUUUAAAUAUAAAACGUAAUUACGUAAAGGGCAGGGAUAGUGACUGGCUACAGGCUGGACGGCCAAGGGUCCGAGUUUGAAUCCCAAUGGGGCAAGAAGUUUCACUUUUCCAUCUCGUCCAGAGUGGCUCUUUCCCUGAGGCAUGAAGCUGACCACUCGUCUUCAUCUAGUGCCAAGAUCAACAAAAUGUGGAUCUA